rnacentral:rRNA from 1 species
UACGGGGGGGGCAAGCGUUGUUCGGAAUUACUGGGCGUAAAGGGCUCGUAGGCGGCCAACUAAGUCAGACGUGAAAUCCCUCGGCUUAACCGGGGAACUGCGUCUGAUACUGGAUGGCUUGAGGUUGGGAGAGGGAUGCGGAAUUCCAGGUGUAGCGGUGAAAUGCGUAGAUAUCUGGAGGAACACCGGUGGCGAAGGCGGCAUCUGGACCAAUUCGUGACGCUGAGGAGCGAAAGCCAGGGGAGCAAAGCGGG